UGCAGUCGAACGGUGAAGCCCAGCUUGCUGGGUGGAUCAGUGGCGAACGGGUGAGUAACACGUGAGCAACCUGCCCUCCACUUCGGGAUAAGCCUUGGAAACGGGGUCUAAUACCGGAUAUGAGCGCCUGCCGCAUGGUGGGUGUUGGAAAGUUUUUCGGUGGGGGAUGGGCUCGCGGCCUAUCAGCUUGUUGGUGGGGUGAUGGCCUACCAAGGCGUCGACGGGUAGCCGGCCUGAGAGGGCGACCGGCCACACUGGGACUGAGACACGGCCCAGACUCCUACGGGAGGCAGCAGUGGGGAAUAUUGCACAAUGGGCGAAAGCCUGAUGCAGCGACGCCGCGUGAGGGAUGACGGCCUUCGGGUUGUAAACCUCUUUCAGCAGGGAAGAAGGCCCCUUGGGGUGGACGGUACCUGCAGAAGAAGCGCCGGCUAACUACGUGCCAGCAGCCGCGGUAAUACGUAGGGCGCAAGCGUUGUCCGGAAUUAUUGGGCGUAAAGAGCUCGUAGGCGGUCUGUCGCGUCUGGUGUGAAAUCCCAUGGCUCAACUGUGGGCGUGCAUCGGGUACGGGCAGACUAGAGUGCGGUAGGGGAGACUGGAAUUCCUGGUGUAGCGGUGGAAUGCGCAGAUAUCAGGAGGAACACCGAUGGCGAAGGCAGGU
rnacentral:rRNA from 1 species